rnacentral:rRNA from 1 species
AACGAACGCUGGCGGCAUGCCUAACACAUGCAAGUCGAACGAGACCUUCGGGUCUAGUGGCGCACGGGUGCGUAACGCGUGGGAACCUGCCCUUAGGUUCGGAAUAACUCCCGAAAGGGGUGCUAAUACCGGAUAAUGUCUUCGGACCAAAGACUUAUCGCCUUUGGAUGGGCCCGCGUUGGAUUAGCUAGUUGGUAGGGUAAAAGCCUACCAAGGCGACGAUCCAUAGCUGGUCUGAGAGGAUGAUCAGCCACACUGGGACUGAGACACGGCCCAGACUCCUACGGGAAGCAGCAGUGGGGAAUAUUGGACAAUGGGCGAAAGCCUGAUCCAGCAAUGCCGCGUGAGUGAUGAAGGCCUUAGGGUUGUAAAGCUCUUUUACCCGGGAUGAUAAUGACAGUACCGGGAGAAUAAGCUCCGGCUAACUCCGUG